rnacentral:snoRNA from 1 species
ACCCUGCAGAUCCCUUACUCCUUGGAUCUAAAUAUUGGUUUGAGAGUCCAAAAACGGGAAAGGGGAAAGCUGAAGUGGACUUAGAAUCUUUAAUGACAUACAUUUCAAUCAUAU